UUCACCUUUAAACUGGUCCCGUGAGGCUGGUAAGGUGAAAGCUGGGAAGAAAAAGAUGAAAGUACAGCCUUUCUCCGCCUGACGGAGGAAGGCUUUUUUCGU
rfam:Fervidicola ferrireducens strain Y170 AN618_contig000027, whole genome shotgun sequence.